UGAGGAAUAUUGGUCAAUGGGCGGGAAGCCUGAACCAGCCAAGUCGCGUGAGGGAAGACGGCCCUACGGGUUGUAAACCUCUUUGCCGGGGAGCAAUGCCCAGCUCGCGAGCUGGGAAGGAGAGUACCCGGAGAAAAAGCAUCGGCUAACUCCGUGCC
rnacentral:rRNA from 1 species